GAGUUUGAUCCUGGCUCAGGAUGAACGCUAGCGGCAGGCUUAACACAUGCAAGUCGAGGGGUAACAUAAAUUACUUGUAAUUUGAUGGCGACCGGCGAACGGGUGCGUAACGCGUAUGCAACCUACCUUUUACUAGAGAAUAGCCAAGAGAAAUUUUGAUUAAUGCUCUAUACACUUUAAGGCUCACAUGAGUCUAAAAGAAAAGCUCCGGCGGUAAAAGAUGGGCAUGCGUUCUAUUAGCUCGUAGGUGAGGUAACGGCUCACCUAAGCUUCGAUAGAUAGGGGUCCUGAGAGGGAGACCCCCCACACUGGUACUGAGACACGGACCAGACUUCUACGGAAGGCAGCAGUAAGGAAUAUUGGACAAUGGAGGAAACUCUGAUCCAGCGAUGCCGCGUGAAGGAAGACGGCCCUAUGGGUUGUAAACUGCUUUUAUACAGGAAGAAACCUUGGUACGUGUACCAAGCUGACGGUACUGUAAGAAUAAGGAUCGGCUAACUCCGUGCCAGCAGCCGCGGUAAUACGGAGGAUCCAAGCGUUAUCCGGAAUCAUUGGGUUUAAAGGGUCCGUAGGUGGAUAAUUAAGUCAGAGGUGAAAUCUUGCAGCUCAACUGUAAAAUUGCCUUUGAUACUGGUUAUCUUGAGUCAUUAUGAAGUAGUUAGAAUAUGUAGUGUAGCGGUGAAAUGCAUAGAUAUUACAUAGAAUACCAAUUGCGAAGGCAGAUUACUAAUAAUGUACUGACACUGAUGGACGAAAGCGUGGGUAGCGAACAGGAUUAGAUACCCUGGUAGUCCACGCCGUAAACGAUGGAUACUAGCUGUAUGUCUACCUCAGGUAGAUGUGUGGCUAAGCGAAAGUGAUAAGUAACCCACCUGGGGAGUACGUUCGCAAGAAUGAAACUCAAAGGAAUUGACGGGGGCCCGCACAAGCGGUGGAGCAUGUGGUUUAAUUCGAUGAUACGCGAGGAACCUUACCAGGGCUUAAAUGUAAGUUGCAUUAGCUAGAGAUAGCUAUUUCUUCGGACCACUUACAAGGUGCUGCAUGGUUGUCGUCAGCUCGUGCCGUGAGGUGUCAGGUUAAGU
rnacentral:rRNA from 1 species